UUGUGUGUCUGUGUGUCUGUGCUUUUAUUUCAGGUAACACCUCACUUUCCGGUUAUACCAUCCUUUCCGGAUCAUCCAGUGAUGGAGCGCCACACUUUUGAAAGGACACCCCACUAUGACUACACGGAUGACGAGUACCUAAUAUGAUAGAUUUACCAAGACCAGCAAUUCAUAACAGAUGUAAAGUAAACUAUCUACAGCCAACCCAUACACAAUGUAUAGAGAGGCAGAGCACAUACAUGACUGCCUUUCCAUGCUCGAUAUCACAGGUGGUCCCAACAAUGAGACCCCUGCAAUCAUACUGCAUACUUAUCCCCCUUUCUGGGAAUAGGGUAUACAUCUUAACCUCUUAAGGACGCAGGGCGUAUGGAUACGCCCUGCAUUCCGAGUCCUUAAAGACGCAGGGCGUAUCCAUAUGCCCGUGGGAAUUUCGGUCCCCACCGUUAGCCGGUUGGGGACCGGAGCCGGAUG